CAGUGGGGAAUAUUGCACAAUGGAGGAAACUCUGAUGCAGCGACGCCGCGUGAAGGAAGACGAUAUUUCRGUAUGCAAACUUCUAUCAGCAGGGAAGAAAAUGACAGGUACCUGACUAAGAAGCCCCGGCUAACUACGUG
rnacentral:rRNA from 1 species